rnacentral:tmRNA from 1 species
GGGGGCGAACUAGAUUCGACGGGGACGUCGGGGCGAUGAGUGGCGAGCCGAGGUCCGCUCCUCGUAAAUCAGCGGGCGCUUUAAGUGCCAACGAGAACACUGAACUCGCCUUAGCUGCUUAAGUCAGCUAACGUCUGACGGUGGCCGCGCCUCCCGGGCCCCGUCAGCGUAAACCCAGGAGGCUACCGGUCCGGAGCGCCUCGGCCGGAUGCGGGAAGCAUGAGGCUGGUCGGCGCACCUCCCGCCUUGCCGGAGGGGCGUCGACGAGAUCGAAGGCAGGGCUACGCUCGUAGGGACUCAUCGUGACGCGUCUUCGGACGGGACGGGCAGCACGUCCCCGCCUCCACCA